rnacentral:rRNA from 1 species
AACUAACGCUGGCGGCGUGCCUAACACAUGCAAGUCGUACGAGAAAGUUGGCUUCGGCUGAUGAGUAAAGUGGCGCACGGGUGAGUAACGCGUGGAUAAUCUGCCUUUUAGUUGGGAAUAACGUACCGAAAGGUGCGCUAAUACCGGAUAAUACUGCAUAACUACUGUUGUGUAGUCAAAGAAGGCCUCUGUUUACAAGCUUUUGCUGAAAGAUGAGUCCGCGUACCAUUAGCUAGUUGGUAGGGUAAUGGCCUACCAAGGCUACGAUGGUUAGCUGGUCUGAGAGGAUGAUCAGCCACACUGGAACUGAGACACGGUCCAGACUCCUACGGGAGGCAGCAGUGAGGAAUAUUGCGCAAUGGGGGCAACCCUGACGCAGCAACGCCGCGUGAGUGAGGAAGGUUUUCGGGUUGUAAACUGCUUUUGUCAGGGAAGAAAUCUUCUGGGCUAAUACCCCGGGAGGAUGACGGUACCUGAAGAAUAAGCACCGGCUAACUACGUGCC